rnacentral:rRNA from 1 species
AGCAGUCGCCGCGGUAAUACGUAGGUCCCGAGCGUUGUCCGGAUUUAUUGGGCGUAAAGCGAGCGCAGGCGGUUAGAUAAGUCUGAAGUUAAAGGCUGUGGCUUAACCAUAGUACGCUUUGGAAACUGUUUAACUUGAGUGCAAGAGGGGAGAGUGGAAUUCCAUGUGUAGCGGUGAAAUGCGUAGAUAUAUGGAGGAACACCAGUGGCGAAGGCGACUCUCUGGUCUGUAACUGACGCUGAGGAGCGAAAGCGUGGGGAGCGAACAGGAUUAGAUACCCGCGUAGUCCCUGUCUCUUAUACC